rnacentral:rRNA from 1 species
AGAAUCAACGCUGGCGGCGUGCCUAACACAUGCAAGUCGCACGAGAAAGGGUAGCAAUACCUGAGUACAGUGGCGCACGGGUGAGUAACACGUGAAUAAUCUACCUCCGAGUGGGGAAUAACUGAGAGAAAUCUUAGCUAAUACCGCAUAAUACCCACGGGUCAAAGCAGCAAUGCGCUUGGAGAGGAGUUCGCGGCAGAUUAGUUAGUUGGCGGGGUAAUGGCCCACCAAGACGAUGAUCUGUAUCCGGCCUGAGAGGGCGCACGGACACACUGGAACUGAAACACGGUCCAGACUCCUACGGGAGGCAGCAGUGGGGAAUUUUGCGCAAUGGGGGAAACCCUGACGCAGCAACGCCGCGUGGAGGAUGAAGCCCCUUGGGGUGUAAACUCCUUUCGAUCGGGAAGAUAAUGACGGUACCGAUAUAAGAAGCCCCGGCUAACUUCGUGCCAGCAGCCGC